rfam:Capsicum annuum cultivar Zunla-1 chromosome 3, whole genome shotgun sequence
CCCUCUGAGUUUAAGCAUAUCAAUAAGCGGAGGAAAAAAAACUUACAAGGAUUCACUUAGUAAUGGCGAGCAAACCGGGAACAACCCAGCCUUAGAAUAAGGCGGCUCCGUCAUCCAAAUUAUAGCUUGGAGAAGCGUCCUCAGCGGCAGACUGGGCCCAAGUCCCCUGGAAGGGGGCGCUAGAGAGGGUGAGAGCCCCGUUGUGCCCCGACCCUGUCAUACCACGAGGCACUGUCCAUGAGUCGGGUUAUUUGGGAAUGCAGCCCAAAUCGGGUGGUGAAUUCUGUCCAAGGCUAAAUACGGGCAAGAGACUGAUAGCGAUAAAGUACCGGAAGGGAAAGAUGGAAAGUACUUUGAAAAAAAAGUCAAAGAGUGCUUGAAAUUGUCGGGAGAGAAGAGGAUGGGGGCCGGUGAUGCGCCCCGGUCGGAUGUGAAACGACGAUGAGCCGGUCCGCUGAUCGACUCAGGGCGUGGACCAGCGUGGAUUAAGGGGCGGCCAAAGCUCGGGCUCUCGAUAUGCUCAUGGAACUCCGUCUUCUCGAUUUUGGCAAGCAGCGCACGCCUCCGGCUUGCUUCAGCAUCUGCACACUCUGGACGCUGGCCUGUGGGCUCCUUAUUUGACCCAUAUUGAAACAUGGACCAAGGAGUCUGACAUGUGUGCGAGUCAACGGGUGAGUAAACUCGUAAGGCGUAAAGAAGCUGAUUGGUGGUAUCCCCCCGAGGGGUGCAUCGCUGACCAACCUUGAUCUUCUAAGAAGGGUUCGAGUGUGAGCAUACCUAUCGGGACUCGAAAGAUGGUGAUCUAUGCUUGAGGGGGGCAAAGCCAGAGGAAACUCUGGUGGAGGCUCGCAGUGAUACUGACGUGCAAAUAGUUCGUCUGACUUGGGUGUAGGGGCAAAAGACUAAUCAAACCGUCUAGUAGUUGGUUCCCUCCGAAGUUUCCCUCAGGAUAGUUGGAGCUCGCAUGCGAGUUCUAUCGGGGUAAAACCAAUGAUUAGAGGCCUCAGGUGCGAAACUCCCUCGACCUAUUCUCAAACUUUAAAUAGGUAGGAUGGCGCGGCUGCUUUGUUAUGCCGCACCAUGGAAUCAAGAGCUCCAAGAGGGCCAUUUUUGGUAAGUAGAACUGGUGAUGCGGGAUGAACCGGAAGUCGGGUUACGGUGCCAAACUACGCGCUAACCUAGAUCCCACAAAGGGUGUUGGUCGAUUAAGACAGCAGGACGGUGGUUAUGGAAGUCGAAAUCCACUAAGGAGUGUGUAACAACUCACCUUUCGAAUCAAUUAGCCCCAAAAAUCGAUGGCUCUUAAGUGCGCGACCUACACCCGACCUUCGGGGCAAGUUCCAGGCCCCGAUGAGUAGGAGGGCACGGCGGUCGCUGCAAAAUCUUGGGUGCGAGCCCGGGCAGAGCGACCGUUGGUGCAGAUGUUGGUGGUAGUAGAAAAUAUUCAAAUGAGAACUUUGAAGGCCGAAGAGGGGAAAUGUUCUAUGUGAACAACACUUGCACAUGGGUUAGUUGAUUCUAAGGGUCAGGGAAACCCCGAUAGAUAGCACGUUUCGUGCAUACUCCGAAAGGGAAUCGAGUUAAAAUUCCUGAAACGGGAUGUGGUGGUCAACGACAAUGUUAGGAAGUCCGGAGACGUCGGCGGGAGUGUAAUACCCCAUAUUUCAGUACAUGUGUAUUGGUUUAUUUAUAUGGAAUUAAUUUUUUAUUUUAUUUAUACCGGACUUUGCCCGUCGAUGGUUCCAUGCGAAGGUUAUUGAAUAAUCUUUCCAACGAUAUAAAGAUUUCCAAAAAUGUAUAGGUUUCAGAC